rnacentral:rRNA from 1 species
UACAGGGGGUGCAAACGUUGCUCGGAAUUAUUGGGCGUAAAGCGCGCGUAGGCGGCCACUUAAGUCGGAUGUGAAAGCCCUUGGCUUAACCGAGGAAGUGCAUCCGAAACUGAAUGGCUAGAGUGCGAGAGAGGGUCGCGGAAUUCCCGGUGUAGAGGUGAAAUUCGUAGAUAUCGGGAGGAACACCGGUGGCGAAGGCGGCGACCUGGUUCGAUACUGACGCUGAGGCGCGAAAGCGUGGGGAGCAAACAGG